rnacentral:lncRNA from 1 species
UAAAAUCGACUCUUCUAGCUUAUUUCAUUCCCAUAGUCACUGAAUUCGACUCGAGGGCAUUUCUGCUUUUAGAUAAUUGUUCUUGUUUUGCAUGUAUGGUUAAAUGAUUUUUUUUUGCCUUUCCCAAUUUAUCAAGUGUCAGGAAAUAAGCACCUACGCAUUCUAAAUUCUUAUGUCUUUCUUGCCUGAAAUUUGCUUAGCUGCUGAGCGGUCUCACGUACUUUGGUACCUUCUAAUCUGAAUCUUAUUUUAUUGAAAAUAAUUCCUUAGAAGUGCAUUCACAAAGAUUGCAGCCACAACCAAAUUCUCGCUACCUUAUGUUUCCAGUCAUUUAACAUCUCGUAAGGGAAAACCAAAAGUUUCUUCAUCUUACCUUAGUUUCGGUCACGAGAAGUUGCUUCCUAACACAAAUGCAUCAACUUUAUAUGUCCUCUUAAACUCCAUAAAGCUUAUUUUCUGCUCAACAUAAAUCUCGUGAAACAAUGGCUUUCAGCUCCAACAUAUACUAACUAAAAAUGGUUUGCUACUCGGAGGUACAUCAACCAAG